GGGAAGCUCACAAAGACGAAAAAGGUGAGACCACAAAAACGGAUAAGCAACAGCCAUCUGAAGUUACAGCAGUGUGCACGACCCCUAAAGGCCUACAUGCCUACAAAACCGCUCUGGAAUCCCGGCGGCAGACACGCAGCUCAGCGACCAGGGCUGACUCACAUCAAGCGACAAGGCUCACACCGCCGCCAGCGGGAAAAACUAGAGCGUGG